CAUAACUUCUAGGAAGCCUAAAUUUUAGUUGAAGAGGCAGUUAACACAAAGAAGUGAAUUAUCUUCGUAACUGUCAAUUAACUCUCCAAACUCCAAGGCUUUAUCUUCUCCAGGUUAGAGAGAAGUCCUUCUAGACUGUGUGACAUAUAUCCCCUCCUCCUAGAACAAAAUGUACUGAGCAGAACUUGAGUUCAAAUACUGGGUCCACCAGGAAGUGAGAGUGUUUGCCUAUCCAUGGGACAGAUUAGAUGAAUUUCCCAAAGAUGGUCACUGCAAUAUCUCCCACCUCAUAUGUUAUGCAUAUAAUGUGAUUUUGAUACUCUUUCAAUUGAGAGAAAGAGGUCUUUGUGCCAUCCCCUUGAAUCCAGGCUGGCUUAUGACUUCGGUGGCAGGACACUUUGUGACUUCUGAGGCUGGGUCAUAGAAGGCAAUACAGCCUCCAUCUCUGAUGACAUUGGAACCCAGCCACCAUGCUGUGAGGAAGCCCAAGCGUCCUGUGGAGAGAUUAUGUGGGAGAGAACCAAGGCCCCCAGGCCACAGCAUUGGCUGAGCUCCCAGCCAACAGCCAGCAUCAAUUUGUGGAUAUUCUUGGAAGCAGAUAUUCCAGUCUCAAGAUGAGUUGUCCCAGCUGAUACCACAUUGAGCAGAGAUGAGCUGUUCCUGAUUGUCUAACUUCUUUUGUUAGAUCUUGCCUGGAGACAUCAAACCCUUCUUCCUGUUCCUCGCCUGCCAGAAACUCAAUCUGCCCUUGCGAGGACUUAUACGUUGAGUUCUUCUGUCAGAAAAAUCAAGUGUAGGAAAAAAAUCUUUGUAUUUCAGUAGAAAACAAUGCACUGUCUGUAGCACACCUUCCUGCAUUAUAAGAUUCUAGGCCUGUACAUUGUCUGAGCUAUUUUGAAACUCUCUGUAAGUUGUAACUGGUAUGUAAAUGCUGUACUGUCUGGUUGUGAUUUUAACUGACUUCUUCCUCACUGUGGAAAACUCAGUUUUGUCCCCAUUUGCAAUUUAUCUUAACAUUCCUUUACUCCAUAUAAAUCUGUUUUUGAGUUUUCCUUUAAACUGGUUAUAACACCUGCUUGCUUUUCUCAGAUCAUAUAAGUGAAGUAAAUUCUUCAACAUGUGCUAA